CUGACAUUCGCAGGCUUGCUAGUCUAAGUCAACUUUUAAGCAUGUUUACAUGUAAAUAAGGUGCAUUGGGAAGUAACAGUAUAGCAGAAUACCUACAGUCCAUGAAGUUGAGAAAUGAAGAAAUGCAGCUCUGAAUUGUUUAAUAUGGCAUGUGGGGAAAACAUACUGGAUAGUGGAUAUGAAGCAUAGAAAUCAUGUGUCAAUUCGAAGUAACAGUAACACAGAAUGGCUGGAGACCAGUAACUUAAGAACUGAAGAAAUGCAGGUCAUUGUUCUAUAUGGUGAUUGAUGGAACUAUGGUGCAGUUUUGAAUUGAUAAGGUGUGAAGUUACAGAAAAGCAGAAUAGCUACAGACCAUGAAAUU
rnacentral:lncRNA from 1 species